CCUACGGGUGGCUGCAGUGGGGAAUAUUGCACAAUGGGCGCAAGCCUGAUGCAGCCAUGCCGCGUGUGAAGAAGGCCUUCGGGUUGUAAAGCACUUUCAGCGGGGAGGAAGGCGUUAAGGUUAAUAACCUUGGCGAUUGACGUUACCCGCAGAAGAAGCACCGGCUAACUCCGUGCCAGCAGCCGCGGUAAUACGGAGGGUGCAAGCGUUAAUCGGAAUUACUGGGCGUAAAGCGCACGCAGGCGGUCUGUCAAGUCGGAUGUGAAAUCCCCGGGCUCAACCUGGGAACUGCAUUCGAAACUGGCAGGCUAGAGUCUUGUAGAGGGGGGUAGAAUUCCAGGUGUAGCGGUGAAAUGCGUAGAGAUCUGGAGGAAUACCGGUGGCGAAGGCGGCCCCCUGGACAAAGACUGACGCUCAGGUGCGAAAGCGUGGGGAGCAAACAGGAUUAGAUACCCCAGUAGUC
rnacentral:rRNA from 1 species